GGGGGCCUGCACAAGCGGUGGAGCAGGUGGUUUAAUUGGAAACAACGGGCGGAACCUUACCAGCGUUUGACAUCGUCAUCGCGAUUUCCAGAGAUGGAUUUCUUCAGUUCGGCUGGAUGAGUGACAGGUGCUGCAUGGCUGUCGUCAGCUCGUGUCGUGAGAUGUUGGGUUAAGUCCCGCAACGAGCGCAACCCUCGUCCUUAGUUGCCAUCAUUUGGUUGGGCACUCUAAGGAAACUGCCGGUGAUAAGCCGGAGGAAGGUGGGGAUGACGUCAAGUCCUCAUGGCCCUUACACGCUGGGCUACACACGUGCUACAAUGGCGGUGACAGUGAGCAGCUAACCCGCGAGGGUAUGCUAAUCUCCAAAAGCCGUCUCAGUUCGGAUUGCUCUCUGCAACUCGGGAGCAUGAAGGCGGAAUCGCUAGUACUCGCGGAUCAGCAUGCCGCGGUGAAUACGUUCCCAGGCCUUGUACACACCGUUCCGU
rnacentral:rRNA from 1 species